GCCUUCGUGGUGUAGUGGUCAGCACGCUCGACGCAUUUUCCAGAGGUCCUUGGUUCGAGUCCCGGCGAGGGCA
rnacentral:tRNA from 1 species